rnacentral:rRNA from 1 species
UACAGAGGGGGCAAGCGUUGUUCGGAAUUACUGGGCGUAAAGGGCGCGUAGGCGGCCGCCUAAGUCAGACGUGAAAUCCCUCGGCUCAACCGGGGAACUGCGUCUGAUACUGGGUGGCUUGAAUCCGGGAGAGGGAUGCGGAAUUCCCGGUGUAGCAGUGAAAUGCGUAGAUAUCGGGAGGAACAUCCGUGGCGAAGGCGGCCACCUGGACCAACAUUGACGCUGAGGCACGAAAGCGUGGGGAGCAAACAGG